CCAGCCAUUCCGCGUGCAGGACGAAGGCCUUCGGGUUGUAAACUGCUUUUGUACGGAACGAAAAAGCCUUGGUUAAUACCCAGGGUCCAUGACGGUACCGUAAGAAUAAGCACCGGCUAACUACGUGCCAGCAGCCGCGGUAAUACGUAGGGUGCAAGCGUUAAUCGGAAUUACUGGGCGUAAAGCGUGCGCAGGCGGUUAUAUAAGACAGAUGUGAAAUCCCCGAGCUUUAACUUGGGAACUGCAUUUGUGACUGUAUAGCUAGAGUAUACAGAAGAGGGGGAUGGAAUUCCGCGUGUAGCAGUGAAAUGCGUAGAUAUGCGGAGGAACACCGAUGGCGAAGGCAAUCCCCUGGGCCUGUACUGACGCUCAUGCACGAAAGCGUGGGGAGCAAACAGGAUUAGAUACCCUGGUAGUCCACGCCCUAAACGAUGUCAACUGGUUGUUGGGUCUUCACUGACUCAGUAACGAAGCUAACGCGUGAAGUUGACCGCCUGGGGAGUACGGCCGCAAGGUUGAAACUCAAAGGAGUUGACGGGGACCCGCACAAGCGGUGGAUGAUGUGGUUUAAUUCGAUGCAACGCGAAAAACCUUACCCACCUUUGACAUGUACGGAAUUUGCAGAGAUGGCUU
rnacentral:rRNA from 1 species